rnacentral:rRNA from 1 species
AUUGAACGCUGGCGGCAGGCUUAACACAUGCAAGUCGAACGAGUGGCGGACGGGUGAGUAAUGCAUGGGAAUCUGGCCUAUGGAGGGGGAUAACGACGGGAAACAGUCGCUAAUACCGCGUACCAUAGGAUGAGCCCAUGUGGGAUUAGGUAGUUGGUGGGGUAAUGGCUCACCAAGCCGACGAUCUCUAGCUGGUUUGAGAGGAUGACCAGCCACACGGGGACUGAGAGACGGCCCGGAGUCCUACGGGAGGCAGCAGUGGGGAAUUUUGCGCAAUGGGGGCAACCCUGACGCAGCCAGGCCGCGUGAAUGAUGAAGGCCUUCGGGGUGUAAAGUUCUUUCGGCAUUGAGGCGUUAUAUGCAGAAGAAGCACCGGCUAACUCCGUGCCAGCAGCCGCGGUAAUUC